GGGGGAGUAUGGUUGCAAAGCUGAAACUUAAAGGAUUUGGUGGAAGGGCACCACCAGGAGUGGAGCCUGCGGCUUAUUUUGACUCAACACGGGAAACCUCACCCGGCCUGGACUCGGACAGGAUUGACAGAUUGAUAGCUCUUUCUUGAUUCCAUGGGUUGUGGUGCAUGGCCUUAGUUGGUGGAGUGAUUUGUCUGGUUAAUUCUGAUAACGAACGAGACUCUGGCAUGCUAACUAGUUACGCGACCCCCGAGCAGUCGGCAUCCCCCAACUUCUUAGAGGGACAAGUGGCGUUCAGCCACCCGAGAUUGAGCAAUAAGCGGUCUGUGCUGCCCUUAGAUGUCCGGGGCUGCACGAGUCCUACACUGACUGGCUCAGCAUGUGCCUACCCUACGUGGCAGACGUGGGUAACCUGUUGAACCCCAUUGGUAUGGUGAUCGGGGAUUGCAAUUAUUCCCCAUGAAUGAGGAAUUCCCAGUAAGUGCGGGUCAUAGGCUUGCGUGAAGUCCCCGCCCUUUGUACACACCGCCGGUCGCUACUACUGAUUGGAUGGUUUAGUGAGGCCCUCGGAUCGGCCCCGCUGGGUCAGCCUGCUGCCCUGGCAGAGCACUGAGAAGACAGUCGAACUUGACUAUCUAGAGGCAGCAAAAGUCGUAACAAAGUUUCCGUAGGUGAACCUGUGGAAG
rnacentral:ncRNA from 1 species